GGCUUGGUGGUGUAAUGGUAACGCACUCUGUGUACCUUGUUCACAUAUCGUUCGAUGGAAAGUCCGGAGUUCGAUUCUCCGUCAAGCCA